rnacentral:tRNA from 1 species
UACAAAUAUAAAAUUGAGGCUGCUAACUUUAAUUUGGGAGAAACUCUUCCAUUUGUAC